AGUGAACGCUGGCGGUAGGCCUAACACAUGCAAGUCGAACGGCAGCACAGGAGAGCUUGCUCUCUGGGUGGCGAGUGGCGGACGGGUGAGGAAUACAUCGGAAUCUACUCUGUCGUGAGGGAUAACGUAGGGAAACUUACGCUAAUACCGCAUACGACCUACGGGUGAAAGCAGGGGACCUUCGGGCCUUGCGCGAUUGAAUGAGCCGAUGUCGGAUUAGCUAGUUGGCGGGGUAAAGGUCCACCAAGGCGACGAUCCGUAGCUGGUCUGAAAGGAUGAUCAGCCACACUGGAACUGAGACACGGUCCAGACUCCUACGGGAGGCAGCAGUGGGGAAUAUUGGACAAUGGGCGCAAGCCUGAUCCAGCCAUACCGCGUGGGUGAAGAAGGCCUUCGGGUUGUAAAGCCCUUUUGUUGGGAAAGAAAUCCAGCUGGCUAAUACCCGGUUGGGAUGACGGUACCCAAAGAAUAAGCACCGGCUAACUUCGUGCCAGCCGCCGCCGUAA
rnacentral:rRNA from 1 species